rnacentral:lncRNA from 1 species
CAAUGUCUGGCACGUAGUGAUUAUCAUUAGGAUUCCUUAUACAGCUGAAAACUGCCAACGCUUUUCUAACAGGGGUUUGCAGCAAAGCUUUCUUAUCAGUAUGGUGGAGAAAGAUGUGAUUUGAGGCAAAAAUGUCGUCUUCCUGCAAAAUGAUUUGAUAGAAACCAGGGUUAGUUCCACUUAUCUAUACAUCAGAUGAAACAUUACUAAUACAAAACCAUUGAUACUCUGCUCAAACAUUACAUGGAUCCUUGUUCAGUUUAUCAACAUAAAAAGCAAGUAAUUAAUACAAAAGCUACAGAUCCAUAUAUACUUGAUAAACACAAACUUUCCGUUAGAUAUAUCAGUACACAACUAAUAUUACAAAGAAGAUGAAACAAACAAUAAUGGGCAUAGAAAAUGAGGGAACAGAAUGAUAUUUGUAGACUAUGGAUCAAGUCAACAAACAGCCCUGCAUAUUGUUGUGCGCACACAGGUCAUCUUGAACAUGUAAGGAUAUUGCUGGAAGGUGGAGCAAAUGUAAACAAGCCCUGCUAUUCAGGAUCGCAAGUAAACUUGAAAUCAAACCUGAAACUAAAGUAGAAAGUCUGCAGAAUAAACCUUUAUCAAGUACAAUUAUUGUCAUUAGUGAUUUCUUAAAUUGAUGCUCAUUAAUCUAGUCAUCUGUAACUUGCUAAAAUGCAGGUCAAAAUUUGGAGGCUACAAUUAUACUAUAUUAUUAGCCACAUUAUAUUUUCACAGGGGCCUAUAAAACAUACAAAAAUUUCUAAGAGGACAAUAAACAAACAGUGUUACACAUAAAAAUACAAUACAAUAACUACGCAUUUCAGGUUCACAUACAUACAUGUAACUACACAAAUAUAUACAUGUAGCCCAAACAAAUAUAUAUACAAAUAUAAAGAAGAAUAUACCUAACAAAGCAAGCUCUAAAAUCAAAGAAAAUCUGACUCCGCAUCCCAAAAUCCAACUAAACUGCAAGCUGCAAGAUUUAAGCUUUAACAAACCCUAGGCUCCAAGAUUUAAGCUCCAACAAACCCCACUCCUCAAAAUUGAACCUCAAGCUUCAAAGACGAACACACUUCACUCCUUAAACUUCAAAUCUGUUCAAGAAAUUGAAACAAAUGAGAAAGCAAAACAUUUGAAAGAAAGAAAGUAAGAAAAUAA